rnacentral:lncRNA from 1 species
GGCCAAGUCCAAGAACCUCACCACACACAGCCAGUCCCGCAAAUGGCACAGAAAUGGCAUCAAGAAACCUGGUCGCAAAGAUACGAAUCUCUUAAGGGGGUUGACCCCAAGUUCCCGAGGAACAUGCGCUUUGCCAAGAAGCACAACAAGAAAGGCCUGAAGAAGAUGCAGGCCAGCAAGGCAAAGGCAGCGAGUGCGCGCGCGCAGAGGCCAUCAAGGCCCUGGUGAAGCCUCAGGCCAUCAAGCCCAAGAUGCCAAAAGGCCCCAAACUCAAGCCGCUGGCUUUCAUCGCUCACCCCAAGCUUGGGAGGCGGAUUUGAAGCUACAUGGCCAAGGGUCAGAGGCUCUGUCAACCGAAGCCUAAGGUCCAAACCAAGGCAGGGCCCAGGCUUCAGCUCCAGCCCAGGCUCCCAAAGGUGCUCAGGCCCCCAAAGGUGCCCAGGCC